UGUUAAGUGCUUGCAUUUAAUUGAUCUAACAUCGAGACGAGUGGCGAACUGGUGAGUAACACGUGGGUAACCUGCCCUUGAAGUAGGGGAUAACACUUGGAAACAGGUGCUAAUACCGUAUAACAACCAAAACCACCUGGUUUUGGUUUAAAAGAUGGCUUCGGCUAUCACUUUAGGAUGGACCCGCGGCGUAUUAGCUUGUUGGUAAGGUAACGGCCUACCAAGGCAAUGAUACGUAGCCGACCUGAGAGGGUAAUCGGCCACAUUGGGACUGAGACACGGCCCAAACUCCUACGGGAGGCAGCAGUAGGGAAUCUUCCACAAUGGACGAAAGUCUGAUGGAGCAACGCCGCGUGAGUGAUGAAGGGUUUCGGCUCGUAAAACUCUGUUGUUGGAGAAGAACAGGUGUGAGAGUAACUGUUCACAUCUUGACGGUAUCCAACCAGAAAGCCACGGCUAACUACGUGCCAGCAGCCGCGGUAAUACGUAGGUGGCAAGCGUUGUCCGGAUUUAUUGGGCGUAAAGCGAGCGCAGGCGGUUUCUUAGGUCUGAUGUGAAAGCCUUCGGCUUAACCGGAGAAGUGCAUCGGAAACCAGGAGACUUGAGUGCAGAAGAGGACAGUGGAACUCCAUGUGUAGCGGUGAAAUGCGUAGAUAUAUGGAAGAACACCAGUGGCGAAGGCGGCUGUCUGGUCUGUAACUGACGCUGAGGCUCGAAAGCAUGGGUAGCGAACAGGAUUAGAUACCCUGGUAGUCCAUGCCGUAAACGAUGAGUGCUAAGUGUUGGAGGGUUUCCGCCCUUCAGUACUGCAGCUAACGC
rnacentral:rRNA from 1 species